CUCGCCCCAUUUACGUUCUUUUUUUUCUCUCGCCUUAGGGUUCCCGUCGAUGCCGCCGAUUCUCCCCUUGAGGCCUGAGUCCUUCCUCUCAAAUGAUCCAGGUGAGUCCAGAGACGGCGGCGGCACGCGAGAUCUCCUAAGCGACGAGCGCGGUUGGUGCUCGAUUCACUGUGGAGGCGGUGCAGGGUGCGCGGUCUUUCACACUUCAUCCACCACCGCCCUAGCCCCUCCUCCUCCGCCGGUACCCAACCGCCGUUCAAUCCUCCUGACGCCGCCCCCGCCGGCCCAUUCGCGUUCUAGAUGGGGCUCGACCACCUCAUUUCCCACGCCCAUGGGAAGGGCUCCAAAACGGGAGAGCCAUCCCUCGACGGAUCUGAGCGGGGCAGCGAAGCCGUGGAGAGAUUGACGGAUCUGAGCGUCAUCGCUCGACGGUGGGUCGCGAACCUCAAUGCUUCCCGAGAUCUCUGCCAUCUCACUCCAUCUUCGACGCAACGGGUUGCAGCGGCGCAAACUUACCAUAGGUGCGGCGUCCUCCCACAGCUUCCGCCUUCAUGAGGAAAUCCCCUUCUUCUUCCUCCCCUCUCAUGGACCUCUGUCACCCUCUCCUGCUGCGCUACCAUGUUUUUCUACUUUAACCACAACACGCAAGCCGGGUAGGAAGGAUUACAAGGAACGGGAGAGUCAUCGCCUCAACUCUGUCCUGGACAGACUCGACUGGGGUGGCUACAGAGAACAAUAAAGUUGGUUAAACUGAGUAGAAUUAUAGGUUGAGAAAUGGAAAUCGAGUCAGGUGGCGUGUUUGCCCGCAGAAAUAACAGUGACAUUGAAGAAGAGGUCCAAGGAGAGGAUCCUUAGCACACUCUGGAUCCAGAGUCUCUCGAGUGGAUGAAGAGGAUGUUGUUGUGCCGAAAGAAAACAUGGCGAUUGCAAGGCAUGCAAGCCGGGCUAUGUUUCAGCAAUUUGAACCAAUACUGUAUGGGCAGGCACAUACGGGAAGUGCUCGGUUUGGAUUACUUUUGUUUCCAUACUGGAGUCAGCGGGAGGGGAAUUGGAGGUUCUUGCUCCUCUGCAAAAUCAGUCCGCCAGCUUUCCCCAAGAGAAGAGUUUGAUCAAAACAACAUCUAUCUGAUCAAGCACACAUGGCUAGAGUAGUAUACGAGGAAUAAUUUGACUGUAAGUGGCGAUGGUUUUCACAUAUGAUCUGUUGUUCUUCCACACACUACAGGUCAUGGAUCAUGUUGGUAUAUAAGCACAUGUUUGCGCUUCUGUGGCGUAUAGACAUUGGAACAUAUACAUUCAUGUGCUAGAGCUUGUUUGGUCAGGAGAUGCCAGCCCAAAAGUUAGAAAAUCACGCAAUAACGAAUUUAUUUUAAAGGUACACACCGGCGUAGAGACCGCCUUCCUGCACUAGGAACUCUCCAGAUCAACAGCUUGGCUGCACUAGGGACUUGCCAUCGUCGACACCUGUCUGCCGAGACUUACUCCGUACCGACCACGACGCAUGCCGCUAAUGACGCCUGUCUUGCAGGCUUGCAGCUGACCCCGACGCACCCUACCUAGACCAGGAGGUUGUCGCCACUGCAUUGUUUUUGUCCACCAAGAGGUUAAUUCCGUUCCGAUUGAUGAAAUCUGCAGCAAUCAAACCAUUUACCGUGUGGUAUGAUCUUUUUUGCAAUGGAUUAGAUGCAGACGAGUUGAAACAUGGUACCUGAAGUUUUUCCCUAUCCGUACCACAUUAUUUUUCAUUGUCGACGUUCUGUACUCCGAACUUCGUAGAAAAGGUAAGCAUCUACAAGAUGGUUUACCCUGCUAAGGCAUUUUAUUUCUACAGAUUACACUAAAGCAUUCAAAAUCUUUAGUCAUGUAUGUUGGCCACCAUUGUGGUGCUUAUGCGAAGAACAACUCUGGAAAUAUGCGCGUUCUGAUUUUUUGUCAGCUUUUGUUCAUGAGUUAUUUGUGUAAUGACUGGAGCGGUGGAGACAUCAGUUUUGCUUAUAGCUACAUUGCCAUGGGCGUUUUUGUUCUGUUCCACUUAUUUCGUGAAGCUUCUGGUAAGAAGGCUCCUCGAAUAAAAGUGGAAUUCAAUGAUUUCCUCGAGAAAAACGCGUGAGCAUUUCAAUGGAACUUAUCAUGGUCAUGGUGCUGCACCCUAGAUUAGGGAGGAGACCCAGCGUGGCAGGGAUUAUAUUGACUGCCACGCCGCCAAUGUUGUUCCCUGUAAUCCUCAACCUCCCUCCCAGCAAUGCUGACAUGGAGUUCUUCUUGGUCCCCGUGUCCUUCACGUAACACAAAAGGGUGAUCUUGUCCAGCUUGAACUUAUGUUCAUCCUAUUUAUUCAAGUUUUUAUCCCUUUGUAUUUGCCGUGGCAGACAAUCUGGUUUAGGAUGGAUUGAUGGAAGUCUACAUCAAAUGUAGGAAAGAUGGAAAGAACUUCAGUACACCAAUAUGCAAUUUCUGGUGUACAUUCUUUAAAAAUCUGCGUUUUUUCAAUUGAACUGAACCUACUUGUGUUU